rnacentral:rRNA from 1 species
CAGGGGGUCUAACCGGCAAGCUCGACGUGCUUCACCACAUGCGCGGACCGGGUGUGUCACGCCGUGAGCAAUCCGCCCACUCUGGGGGGAUAACAGUUCGGAAACGACCGAUAAUACCGCAUAACACGGUUUCGAAGGCAUCUUCUUUUCCAUCAAAGAUUUAUCGGAUAUGGAUGAGCUCGCGUCUGAUUAGCUCGUUGGUGAGGUAACGGCUCACCAAGGCGACGAUCAGUAGCCGACCUGAGAGGGUGAUCGGCCACAUUGGAACUGAGACACGGUCCAAACUCCUACGGGAGGCAGCAGUGGGGAAUAUUGGGCAAUGGAGGAAACUCUGACCCAGCAACGCCGCGUGAAUGAUGAAGGUCUUCGGAUUGUAAAGUUCUUUUCUAAGGGAAGAAGAAAGUGACGGUACCUUAGGAAUAAGCCUCGGCUAACUACGUGCCAGCAGCCGCGGUAAUACGUAGGAGGCAAGCGUUAUCCGGAAUGACUGGGCGUAAAGGGUGCGUAGGUGGUUUGACAAGUUGGUAGCGUAACUCCGAGGCUUAACCUCGGCACUACUACCAAAACUGUUGGACUCGAGUGCAGGAGGGGCAAAUGGAAUUCCUAGUGUAGCGGUGGAAUGCGUAGAUAUUAGGAGGAACACCAGUGGCGAAGGCGAUUUGCUGGACUGUAACUGACACUGAGGCACGAAAGCGUGGGGAGCAAACAGGAUUAGAUACCCUGGUAGUCCACGCUGUAAACGAUGAAUACUAGGUGUAGGGGGUAUCGAUUCCCUCUGUGCCGCCGCUAACGCAUUAAGUAUUCCGCCUGGGGACUACGGCCGCAAGGUUGAAACUCAAAGAAAUUGACGGGGGCUCGCACAAGCAGCGGAACAUGUGGUUUAUUUCGACGCAACGCGAAAAACCUUUACAGGCCCUGACAUCGAAUUGAAUUCAAAGAAAUUGGACCCU